rnacentral:misc_RNA from 1 species
AAGUCGUAACAAGGUAACCGUAGGUGAACCUGCGGUUGGAUCAUUAACAAUUAAAAGUUGACCAGACUUGAACUCUUUUAGGGGGAUGGAAAGGAAGACUUGAAGUUUUUCCCAAAAGACUUGCAAAAGUCCUAGGGAGAAAUCAACACACUGUGAACUGUUUAUGUCUCUGGCAGGAGUUAAAAAACCUGUCAGUUUAGUUUUGAACCCAAGUUUUAUUAAAGUUUACUUUUGACCUAAAAGAAACAACUUUUGACAACGGAUCUCUUGGCUCUC